rnacentral:rRNA from 1 species
CUACGGGGCGCUGCAGUAGGGAAUAUUGCACAAUGGGCGAAAGCCUGAUGCAGCAACGCCGCGUGAGUGAUGAAGGCCCUCGGGUCGUAAAACUCUUUUCAAGAGGAAGAGGAAGGACGGUACUCUUGGAAUAAGCCUCGGCUAACUACGUGCCAGCAGCCGCGGUAACACGUAGGAGGCGAGCGUUAUUCGGAUUUACUGGGCGUAAAGCGCGUGUAGGCGGCUCUAUAAGUUGGAUGUGAAAGCUCCCGGCUUAACUGGGAGAGGACGUUCAAAACUAUAGAGCUUGAGUACGAGAGAGGAAAAUGGAAUUCCGGGUGUAGUGGUGAAAUGCGUAGAUAUCCGGAGGAACACCAGUGGCGAAGGCGAUUUUCUGGCUCGAGACUGACGCUCAGACGCGAAAGCUAGGGUAGCAAACGGGAUUAGAUACCCUGGUAGUC